rnacentral:rRNA from 1 species
AUUGAACGCUGGCGGCAGGCCUAACACAUGCAAGUCGAGCGGAUGAAGGGAGCUUGCUCCUGGAUUCAGCGGCGGACGGGUGAGUAAUGCCUAGGAAUCUGCCUGGUAGUGGGGGAUAACGUCCGGAAACGGGCGCUAAUACCGCAUACGUCCUGAGGGAGAAAGUGGGGGAUCUUCGGACCUCACGCUAUCAGAUGAGCCUAGGUCGGAUUAGCUAGUUGGUGGGUUAAAGGCCUACCAAGGCGACGAUCCGUAACUGGUCUGAGAGGAUGAUCAGUCAAACUGGAAGUGAGAAACGGUCCAGACUCCUACGGGAGGCAGCAGUGGGGAAUAUUGGAAAAUGGGCGAAAGCCUGAACCAGCCAUGCCGCGUGUGUGAAGAAGGUCUUCGGAUUGUAAAGCACUUUAAGUUGGGAGGAAGGGCAGUAAGUUAAUACCUUGCUGUUUUGACGUUACCAACAGAAUAAGCACCGGCUAACUUCGU